rnacentral:rRNA from 1 species
GAUUAACGCUGGCGGCGUGCAUAACACAUGCAAGUCGAACGAUGAAACUUUAAUGAACCCUUCGGGGAGAAUUAAAGCGGAUUAGUGGCGAACGGGUGAGUAACGCGUGAGUGACCUGCCUUACACAAGGGGAUAGCCUUUGGAAACGAAGAAUAAUACCCUAUAAAACCAUAAAAGCACAUGCAAUUAUGGUCAAAGUGAUAGCGGUGUAAGAUGGACUUGCGUCUGAUUAGCUAGUUGGUGAGAUAAAAGCCCACCAAGGCAACGAUCAGUAGCCGGCUUGAGAGAGUGUACGGCCACAUUGGGACUGAGACACGGCCCAGACUCCUACGGGAGGCAGCAGUGGGGAAUUUUGCACAAUGGGGGAAACCCUGAUGCAGCGACGCCGCGUGAUUUAGAAGGCCUUCGGGUUGUAAAAAUCUUUUGUAUAGGAAGAAAAUGACAGUACUAUACGAAUAAGGUCCGGCUAAUUACGUG